rnacentral:rRNA from 1 species
CUCUUCGGAGAAGAGCGGCGGACGGGUGAGUAACGCGUGGGUAACCUGCCUCAUACACAUGGAUAACAUACCGAAAGGUAUGCUAAUACAGGAUAACAUAAGAGAUUCGCAUGUUUCUCUUAUCAAAGCUCCGGCGGUAUGAGAUGGACCCGCGUCUGAUUAGCUAGUUGGUAAGGUAAUGGCUUACCAAGGCGACGAUCAGUAGCCGACCUGAGAGGGUGAUCGGCCACAUUGGAACUGAGACACGGUCCAAACUCCUACGGGAGGCAGCAGUGGGGAAUAUUGCACAAUGGGCGAAAGCCUGAUGCAGCAACGCCGCGUGAGUGAUGAAGGCCUUCGGGUCGUAAAACUCUGUCCUCAAGGAAGAUAAUGACGGUACUUGAGGAGGAAGCCCCGGCUAACUACGUGCCAGCAGCCGCGGUAAUACGUAGGGGGCUAGCGUUAUCCGGAUUUACUGGGCGUAAAGGGUGCGUAGGUGGUUUCUUAAGUCAGGAGUGAAAGGCUACGGCUUAACCGUAGUAAGCUCUUGAAACUGGGAAACUUGAGUGCAGGAGAGGAAAGUGGAAUUCCUAGUGUAGCGGUGAAAUGCGUAGAUAUUAGGAGGAACACCAGUAGCGAAGGCGGCUUUCUGGACUGUA